GUUGUAAUUUCAACCAUAUGGAUAUUUAUGUAAUGGUAUAACGUUGGCCACACAUGUCAAACUUUAUACCCAAAUUCAAAUUCAAGCAUAUAAUCUCCCAUAUUUGGCAUAUUCACUUGUAUUUUCAGCUGCCCGUUACUUUCAAAAAAUUAUAUUUUUUUAUUAAAUUUUAAAACUUUAUUUUGGCACUUGGCCAAUUCCAUUUUGACUUGAACUA